UAAACAAUCGGAAAAGAUGUAAAAUUUACACGUAAAAUCCAAAAUUUUCUUAAUUAAUUAUUUUUUAUAAAAACCAAUCAAGAAGAUAGAGAAGGAAUUGCGAAUUGUGCUCGAAUCCUCAAGAUGAAGAUGAGAUUUUGAGUCACUGUUGUAUAAGUUUGAUUAGUGUAUCUUGAAUUUAUUUGUUUAACAGAUAAGAGACUCCUGUUAAAUGGGAAAAAGUUGUACCCUCUUGCCCUUAUUGCCUUGCUCACAUGUUUCCUUUUGGCGGUAAUGUUAGUUACGUUUCACGUUUCUCAUCUCUACUCCGCGUAGCCGUUACUGAGGCCAGUUUUUCCGCGAGAAUCCAUAAUAUCGGGCUCCUUGUUUUGUUUUGAGUGAAAACAAGAAACGAUGAAGACAAUGUGUAGUCCAGUUCUGCAGAUUAAUGCAGCUGUUAGCUUGGAGAAACCAACGGUUCAUGGAUUUAAUCCAAAGGGGAAGAAAGAAGACGGCCUACUGGUAGCGAAUUUGAAUUCGAAAAGCCGCAAAAAGUUCAAUUUGGUACUUUCAAACAGUUUGAAGGAGUGUAAUGUUUGUACACUGGACACAGGAAAUUCUUGUGCUUCUUUGGAUGGAAAUUGGUUUUUGAAGCAUAAGGGAAAAGAGGUUGCUUCGUGCUUAAAUGAUCGGUGUAUAUUUCUUGUCGGAAUGAUGGGUUCAGGUAAAACAACUGUCGGCAAAGUUUUGUCAGAAGCACUUGGGUAUUCUUUUGUUGAUAGUGAUAAGUACGUGGAACAAGUUGUGGGUGCAGCUUCUGUGACUGAAAUAUUUAAUGAGUGGGGCGAGGCUUACUUCAGAGAUAAUGAGAGUGAGGCAUUGCGGACAUUGUCCUUGAUGCCCCAACAAGUUGUUGCCACUGGUGGUGGUGCUGUGAUUCGUCCUAUCAACUGGGUAUACAUGAAGCAGGGAAUCACUGUCUAUCUAAAUGUACCUCUGGAUGCCUUGGCAAGGAGAAUUGCUGCUGUUGGAACUGACUCUCGCCCUCUUUUGCACUUCGAUUCAGGAGAUCCUUAUAUAAAGUCUCUUGAACUUGCUGCAGGCGUUUAUGGGUCUGUUCACUAUGUCAAAAAAGAGAUCUGAUUCGUAUUCCAAUGCUGAUGUUACUGUAUCGCUUCUAGAUCUGGCAGACAGCUUGGCUCUUGAAGAUGUGUCGGAUCUCACACCGGCAGACAUAGCAGCCGAGGUCCUCGUAGAAAUUGAGAAAUAUAUAUCGGGCGAAAAUAAGAGGAGGUGCCUCUGUUUAAGAUGUUGAUUAUUGUACAAAAGAAUAAAGACAAUGACAAAAAUGCUACUCUAUUAUUUUAUUUUAUCGGGAAAUCUCCAAAAAACCAGCCAAGGGUUUCAAAAUUUACUAUUA